rnacentral:lncRNA from 1 species
UAUAGAAUUAUACUAAUAUAUUAUUGAUAGUACAAAUCACUUCGUACUAUUAGAUUUUGAUCAUUGGAUAAAGAAAUGUGCAAUUAAGAUAAUAUUAAUCUUUCUAAAGUUGAAUAGAUGAUUGAUUAAAUAGUAUGAUUUAAUGAGUGAAAAUUGUGAAAGAAAUAGAUCUAAUGGCACAAACUUUGAUAGCAACAAAUAUUUGGCGUGCUUGUGCUGUAAAGUUAUAAUAAUUUAUUUUAAAAUUAUAGAUAUGGUAAUGAUAUAUUUUAAUGAAAUGGAAGCUAUUCUAUCUAUAUAUUUACAAACAGUG